GGGUCCAGCUGCAGGCUCGGAGGCUGCAGUUCCAGGACCCGCAGUUUCAGGACCCGCAGUUCCAGGACCCGCAGUUUUUGCAACAGCGCAACUCAAUGAAUUGGAGUUGUCAUUGCAGGUUUGCAGGUCGCAGAUUGCAGAUUGUAUCCGGACUUCGAUGACGAACGCUAUCAUUUAUGGUCUUGCGUGGACACAUAACGUGCCCGUGCUUCAGGCGGAACAGCUGUUCCUUGCUGGGCAACCCUUACAUCCAAGUGAAAGGGAGGAAUUUAAAAGGAAGCUCCAAAAACAACUGCUCCAACAAGGGAGACACUGAGGGAGAUUUUUUGGGUUGCUUUUGGUCUGUAUAAAGUUGAAAUAAUGUGUGUGUGUGUGUUUGUGUGUGUGUGU